AACGAACGCUGGCGGCAUGCCUAACACAUGCAAGUCGAACGAGACCUUCGGGUCUAUUGGCGCACGGGUGCGUAACGCGUCGGAACCUUCCCUUAUGUUCGGAAUAACUCCCCGAAAGGGGUGCUAAUACCGGAUAAUGUCUUCGGACCAAAGAUUUAUCGCCUUUGGAUGGGCCCGAGUUGGAUUAGCUAGUUGUUAGGGUAAAAGCAUACCAAGGCGACGAUCCAUAGCUGGUCUGAGAGGAUGAUCAGCCACACUGAGACUGAGACACGGCCCAGACUCCUACGGGAGGGAGCAGUGGGGAAUAUUGGAAAAUGGGCGAAAGGCUGAUCGAGCAAUGCCGCGUGAGUGAUGAAGGCCUUAGGGUUGUAAAGCUCUUUUACCCGGGAUGAUAAUGACAGUACCGGGAGAAUAAGCUCCGGCUAACUCCGUG
rnacentral:rRNA from 1 species